CAUUAUUUCAACUGUAGAAGAGAAGACCCCAUGGACACCUCAUCACCAAAGCAAGUUAGUUGCUUUAAUCCUUAUUCUACGAAUGGGAAACUGAAGCUCAGAGAAGGAUCAUCUUGAGAACCCCACACUGAAGAGAGCUGCUCCUGUAGGACUUGAGUCCACAUCAGGACCACAGACACAGCCUGCAGUCUCAGAAUCCUGAUGCUGCCUUGUAAACAAGCCUGCUAGAGGGAUGUGAGAGAUACAUGGACAGAACACCUAUUUGAGCCAGUUCUCCCAGCCAGGGUCAUCUGAGACCAGCCAGUUGACUGUAGAGGUAUGAGUAUGUCCAGCCAAAGCCAGCCAAGCCUAUCCCAGAUCAGAAGAACCACCCACUUCGCCCAUAAAUUCAUGAGCAAUAAUAAAUGUGUAUUUUUUAAGCUCUGGUAUAUUUUGUUACACAGCAAUAGCUAACUGAUAUAGCAAGUCCAGGGGAAUGUAACUAUGAAGAAGGUGGUCUGUCAGUUUGACUUUAGUGAACACCAGCUGCCCCUAAAUAAUUACUCAUCUUCCACUGCAGCCCCAAGCACCAGCCAGGUUGCAACUGCCACCAACAUCUCCAUACAAAAGGACUGACCAGCCUAUGCAUAGGCUGUUUGGAACUGACUUUUUUGGGCUUUACAGGAUAUUGGUCAAAAAGGACUUUUGCUCAGGCAAAGAUGGUCUCCUCAGCAGAAGUCAGAUUAGCCAGCAGGAGCAGCUGGACCUCAAAACCAUGAUCAAAAAGAGAUGCCCUCUUUGCUCCAACAGUACAGAAGAGUAGGUCACCUAAAAAAUCAAAUCAAAUCAGAGUCCAGUAAGCAGGAAUAGACUAUGCCUGGAUGUGGACAGAAGUCUGAUCUCUUAAGAGAUUAUUUCUCCUUGCUCUGAUUCUCAAGUAUUUGAAUCUGGGACAUCUGAACACUAAAUAUCAGACCAGAGCUAGGGCUACACGGAUACAGAAUUUUGCCACUUAUAAAUGCAUUUGGGAAGGUUUUUUUUCCUAAGAAGAGCAUCCAUAGCUUUCAUAAGAUUCUCAGAAAAACUGUAACCUGAAAAACAACUGUAGAGAGAAUGCUGGAAGCAACAUUGCCUGCUGUUUAUCAAUGUUCCUACAGGUCUGACUCUGUGUAUUACUCUAUCCACAUGUUAUUGGAUGUACACAUUAUAAUUCCUAUAAGAAAAUUUAACCAUAUUAUAGGAUCUAUGUAUUUCUGUAGUUAUCUAUAUCUUAUAGGGAAUGUCACUCUACCUGUGACUUACCCUAAGUAUUUUCACUCUAAGUUGAUGCAUCUAUAUAUUACUGUAACAUAUAUAUAUUACUAUAGUUGUGUGAUACUGUAUAUUGAUACUGUAGCUGUCACUUUGUUAUGUAUCAUCCUUAGUAUAGCUAAAGGUUAUUAUAUGCAUAUGUAACUGUGGCUAAACAUUAUUGCAAUUACACUACUACAUUUGUAUGUUACUGUUUCCAUGCAACGAUUCUGUUAUUGUGUGUAGGACUCUAACGGUAUUACCGUAAAUCUGUGUUACCGUAUUUAUGUUAUUGUGUCAGGUGUUAAAGCACUUAUUACUGAAGUCAAGCUUAACUGCAACUAAAUGUUACCGUGAAUAUGCAUUUACUCCAAUAAUAAAACUGCAAUAGCUACCAUUCCUUAAGCACAU